rnacentral:rRNA from 1 species
AUUGAACGCUGGCGGCAGGCCUAACACAUGCAAGUCGAGCGGCAGCGGGAAAGUAGCUUGCUACUUUUGCCGGCGAGCGGCGGACGGGUGAGUAAUGCCUGGGAAAUUGCCCAGUCGAGGGGGAUAACAGUUGGAAACGACUGCUAAUACCGCAUACGCCCUACGGGGGAAAGCAGGGGACCUUCGGGCCUUGCGCGAUUGGAUAUGCCCAGGUGGGGUUAGAGAGUUGGUGAGGUAAUGGCUCACCAAGGCGACGAUCCCUAGCUGGUCUGGGAGUAUAACCAGACACACUGGCACUGAGACACGGUCCGGACGCCUCCGGGAGGCAGCAGUGGGGAAUAUUGCACAAUGGGGGAAACCCUGAUGCAGCCAUGCCGCGUGUGUGAAGAAGGCCUUCGGGUUGUAAAGCACUUUCAGCGAGGAGGAAAGGUCAGUAGCUAAUACCUGCUGACUGUGACGUUACUCGCAGAAGAAGCACCGGCUAACUCCGUGCCAGCCGCCGCCGUAAGAC